AGCUUCUCUUGCAAGUCUUUUAAGGCCGAAGUAUAAUGCCUUUUCCAAAAUUCAUCAAAAUGCUUUCCGACAAUUCCUUAACCAAAGGAGGGGGGUUAUAUAAAAUCAUUAUCAUUAGCCCAGCACAAAUGAUGGUAGACAAAACCAUACAAACUGGUAAAGCUCCAAGCAAAAUGCGUACUCCAAUGCCUAGUUUCCUGUCAGAAAUAAUUUGCUCAUUUUUGACAUAUUUUCGCAAAACUUGGACGCCGAAUAGCUCAGUUACAUGAAUGUCAACAGAAUCAGCGCUUUGUGUUGGCUCCAUUUUGCUGUAGAGCGCAAUUCUUGCAAACUGAAAAUGCUGUUUCUCAUAAAUGAAAAUACUUGAAUACCGGAUAUUAUAAAACCCGGUUUAAAACUCGG